ensembl:lincRNA
AUGCAAGAGACAUACAACUGUUUUGUAAAAGGACCACGGCUGAGAGACGUCCCCAGAGAGCUGUCUGGGGUGUUGGGGGAGGGAGUGAAGAAAACGGUAUCAAAUAUCAGAGGAGGGGAGGCGAGGGGCGGAGCCGCGGGCUCCUGCGCGCACCGCACUGGCGUGGAGGAAAACCCACCACGACGGAGACUUUCAGAUUUGGCCUCGGGGGCCGGGGCUCUGCCCUCCUCAACGAUGAUUCAAGAAUAUCCUCUCCCCGCCCCUGCCCCGGCCCACACCGCCCAACAGCCGCUGCCAGCGCGGACGGGAAUUCAGCUCGGCCUGCGCGGCCGCGGCUCCCACCGGGUCCUGGAAGGAAAGCGGCUCCGCGCUGGGGCGGCCGGCGGCCGGGUCCCCAGGGAGGCAGAGCAGACAACGGGGGCCUCGGGGAGCAGCAGCGGGCCCGAGAGGAGGGGACAGGGACGGGCCGGCACGGUUCGCUGCGGGGCUGGUGGCCGCAGAGGCCGCUGGCUCCUCCUCGUCACUCGUCCGCCGAGGACGACGCGGGACUCUCGUCGUCCGACAUCGGGGCGAACUGAAAGGAGAAGCGGGGCCGGGUGUCUGGCGUCCUUUCCCUGGGAGACGCGGGGCCCGGGGCUGGGGAUGCCGAGAGUGACAGGCGAGGUCCCUGGCCCCGAAGAAGUGACGCAUCCGGGGGUGGGGGUGGGGUGUGAAGAAAUAAAGGCAGUAAACUGGGCACGGUGGCGCACGCCUGUAAUCCCAGCCCUCGGGAGGCUGAGAUGACAGGUGUGCGCUGCCAGUCCUGGCUCUGAAUGUGGUUUGAUUCAUCCAAUUAACCAAAAUGAAAGAUGCAGAACAGGGUGCUGGGUCCCUUCCUUCUUGUGCCUGCAGGACCCGAGGGACACACAAGAAUUGCAGGGUAGGGGGCUCCUCACCCGCCGUUGACCCCCACAAACUGCAGGCUCCUCCUGUGGGCUGAGGGGUCUCCGGGCUCCUCCUUCCUCUUCAUGAUGGAGCGCACGCCCGCCUGGGGCCCACCUGGAGGGGAGGGAGUGACAGGGGUCCCUGGAGACGACGCCUACUGGGAGCCCUGUGUCCCCACCUCCUCCGUGGCCACAGCCGCACUCACCUGCUCCCCCAGCCUCCCGUGACACGGGAGCCGCCUCCCCAGGGGGCUCCGUGUCCACAGGGUCAGCAGAGGCCACCCGGCCUGGGUUCUCUGGCGCAGACACUGGUGGGGACGAGGGCUCUGCAGGUGCCCGUGGGGGGCCUGAAGGGACAGAAAAUGAGGUGUCACACGUGUGACAGCGAGAUGACAACAUUCCUCAGAGCUGAGCCCACGGGCCAAGUCUCCCCAGUUCUGAGGGGCUGGACGAUCACUGAGGAGGAAACUGAGGUUCAGAAGUUAUUAGGGAGAAAGAGUUGAGCCAGGCAUGGUGACACAUACCUGUCAUCCCAGCACUCAGGAGGCUGAGGCAGGAGGACUGUUGGGAGUUUGAGGCCAGCCUGGAUAAUUUACCUACUUAGAGAGACCCUGUGUUUUUUUGUCUUUUUGAGACAGGGUCUCACUACACAGUUCAGGCUGG